AGAGUUUGAUCCUGGCUCAGGAUGAACUCUGGCGGCGUGCCUAACACAUGCAAGUCGAACGGCACCCCUCUCCGGAGGGAAGCGAGUGGCGAACGGCUGAGUAACACGUGGAGAACCUGCCCCCUCCCCCGGGAUAGCCGCCCGAAAGGACGGGUAAUACCGGAUACCCCGGGGUGCCGCAUGGCACCCCGGCUAAAGCCCCGACGGGAGGGGAUGGCUCCGCGGCCCAUCAGGUAGACGGCGGGGUGACGGCCCACCGUGCCGACAACGGGUAGCCGGGUUGAGAGACCGACCGGCCAGAUUGGGACUGAGACACGGCCCAGACUCCUACGGGAGGCAGCAGUGGGGAAUCUUGCGCAAUGGGGGGAACCCUGACGCUGCGACGCCGCGUGCGGGACGGAGGCCUUCGGGUCGUAAACCGCUUUCAGCAGGGAAGAGUCAAGACUGUACCUGCAGAAGAAGCCCCGGCUAACUACGUGCCAGCAGCCGCGGUAAUACGUAGGGGGCGAGCGUUAUCCGGAUUCAUUGGGCGUAAAGCGCGCGUAGGCGGCCCGGCAGGCCGGGGGUCGAAGCGGGGGGCUCAACCCCCCGAAGCCCCCGGAACCUCCGCGGCUUGGGUCCGGUAGGGGAGGGUGGAACACCCGGUGUAGCGGUGGAAUGCGCAGAUAUCGGGUGGAACACCGGUGGCGAAGGCGGCCCUCUGGGCCGAGACCGACGCUGAGGCGCGAAAGCUGGGGGAGCGAACAGGAUUAGAUACCCUGGUAGUCCCAGCCGUAAACGAUGGACGCUAGGUGUGGGGGGACGAUCCCCCCGUGCCGCAGCCAACGCAUUAAGCGUCCCGCCUGGGGAGUACGGCCGCAAGGCUAAAACUCAAAGGAAUUGACGGGGGCCCGCACAAGCAGCGGAGCAUGUGGCUUAAUUCGAAGCAACGCGAAGAACCUUACCAGGCCUUGACAUCCCUUGCAGAGGUAUAGAGAUAUAUCCGAGGUUAUCAAGGAGACAGGUGGUGCAUGGUUGUCGUCAGCUCGUGUCGUGAGAUGUUGGGUUAAGUCCCGCAACGAGCGCAACCCUUGUGAUAUGUUACUAACAUUGAGUUGAGGACUCAUAUCAGACUGCCGGUGAUAAACCGGAGGAAGGUGGGGAUGACGUCAAAUCAUCAUGCCCCUUAUGGCCUGGGCUACACACGUACUACAAUGGCGUCUACAAAGAGUGGCAAGCCUGUGAAGGCAAGCGAAUCUCAUAAAGGACGUCUCAGUUCGGAUUGAAGUCUGCAACCCGACUUCAUGAAGUUGGAAUCGCUAGUAAUCGCGAAUCAGCAUGUCGCGGUGAAUACGUUCUCGGGCCUUGUACACACCGCCCGUCA
rnacentral:rRNA from 1 species